rnacentral:rRNA from 1 species
UACAGAGACUGCAAGCGUUAUUCGGAUUCACUGGGCGUAAAGGGUGCGCAGGCGGUUGGGUGUGUCAGAUGUGAAAUCCCGAGGCUCAACCUCGGAACUGCGUCUGAAACUACUCGACUAGAGUACUGGAGAGGGUAACGGAAUUCACGGUGUAGCAGUGAAAUGCGUAGAUAUCAGGAGGAACACCAAUGGCGAAGGCAGAUCUCUGGGCCGUAACUGACGCUGAGGAGCGAAAGCAUGGGGAGCGAAUGGG